GAUAUAAAUAGUAUUUUAUUCCAAUAUUACAUAUUACAAUAUUACAUAGCAUGAAGAGUCUGACGUAUUAUUUAUGUUCCUGUUGGCUUUAACUGUCAACUUGAUAUGGCGUAGCAUCAUCUGAGAGGAAAGCUUCCACAGAGAAGGAACUACCUAGAUCAGACUGGCCAGUGGGCAGGUGUGUGGCAGCCUGCUGUGCUAACUGAUGUAGGAAGGCCCAGGUGGCUGCAGGUGGCACCAUCCCUCUGAGGCAGCCAACAAGAGGCGUCUUUCAUGUCUCUACUCCUUUGGAGGUGAAGUGAUCCCUUGCUUGGAGAUAAUGCUGUGAAACAGCAAGUAGGGUGGCUUAGACUUCUCUCAUGGACUGUGACAAGAAUAGUAAGCCCAAUACACCCUCCUCUCCCUUAAGUUGCUUUUGAACAGUUUUUAUUACAGCAGAAUGAACUAGAGCAUUUCAUUUCCCUUCAAUUAAUCUUAUGUCUUCCCCAGUACUGUUAUUUCUUUUUAUUGGUAGUUAGAAACCCAAGGUUACAGUCUUUGUGUGGCCAGGGGUGGCUCCUCUUAGCUUCUGCUUACUCACAUGAUCUUAGCCAACCAUUUGGUGGCUUAUUUGAUGCUGUCUAGUCUUUGCAGAUGGUGCUACCUGCCUCUGGCAGGAAAGUAGAUGACUGAUGGGGCCAGAGGAGCUUUUUUCUUUCCCCAGAGCUUUGUCCAUGUUGUUCAACUUGGAGUCAAGUUGAGGGCAACUUUUAGUUCUCAGAACCACGGUAGUUGUUGAGGCACAAGCAUGAUUUCUAAGGACUCUGAGAGGCAGGCAGCUCUCUUUCAAGUGCAUGCCAGGUCUCCAAAGGGGCCCAGGGACUCAAGUGGAAGGGCCCAGGUAUCACAACACCAAGAACCCAUCAAUUUGAGGUCCUUGCAAGGUAGGGAGGGGAUAGUGCAAGAAGCCUCCCAGCAGGCCCUAGACCUCAUCUUUAGAGCUGUUUGUCUACUCGUCCAAGAGACAGGCAUCUCAGAAAGCAGGAAUUCUUGUCUGUAUUGAGACCACAUGCUUGCAGACUCCCAGAGCUGUCAUUGGAAAAUGUGCCUAGAGUGCCAUCUAGGGAUGCAGAGGGGAAAGCUCAGGUGAUCGAUGUGGCAAGAGAUGCAAUCUCAAGAGCAGCUUUCCCGGGCUGGAGUGGCAGUGUAUCUGUACCUACCUGUCUGUCUGGAUGCAGAGGUAGAGGGCAGACAAGCAUUCUUGGAGCUUUGGGGACUCUGACCAUCCCGAAGCCAGUCUAGCGUCACUAACAGGGAUGGUGGGCUCUAUCCAGGUUUCCAAGUACAGGCUGGCAGCAGGGCAGAUGGACACAGAGCUGGAGGGACACUGCACUCUUGAUCUAGAUCUAGCUCUGUCACAGCUAACAGAUGGCAGGGAGCCUGUGGCUGCUGAGGUCAGCACUAUUCCAGGCACGGAAACCUGAAAGAUCUUAAGAGUGGAACCCUCAGCCUCCCCGGCAGGAAGGCCAACUCAGCAUGAUACUGGGCACCUCGGGGUAGCUCUGUGCUAGGUGCCAUUCCUUGGGCUUCCUCGCCUGCCCCGUCCCCUGGCAGCAACAGCGGGAAACGGACAGGAAGAAGACACAUCUUUGGGGCUGGCAGUCAGACACUUCUUUUAUUACUUGCUACCUCUGUCCAGAUUGCCACUCCACCUCCUGUCUUUAAAGCAGUGAGAGCCACAGAGAAGUCAUUAGAAGCUGCAAAUAGGAGCCCCCCAAACUUUUAAGGGAAAGAACUUUUUGACCAGACCAGUUUGAUUGGAUUAAAAAAGUGUAUUGGAUUUCCAAUACUAAAUAAAAACAUGAAAUUGAUUUUAAAAAGCCAUAGAGUUUUACAGCAUCAAUUACAGAAAAGGCCGAACAAGUGUGUGCAGGGCCAGUCCCAGCAGCCCUUCAGGCCCCUCAGCCAGGCAGCAGACACAUUCGUUCCACACCUCCCUGAAGGAAGCUGCUGAGCACAGCUCAACUAGGACACAAGACACACAAUGGUUUAGUUUCCAGAAUUACAGGAAAAUAUAAGACACAUCAAAUUGUGAAAUGGUGUAAGACAGAAUAGCUUUGCAUUUUCUGAAUUUAAAAAAAUUCCCCAACUUUUAAGUUACUUUAUUUAAAAAUACAUCCCUCCCCACCCCAUCGAAAUUCUGUGGCAGUAUCCAGGUACCAAGGCCCUGAGGUAACAGAAGUGCUGGGGUCCAAGGGAAGGAAUGCUCUAAACAACCUAGCAUGCUCUGUGGGCAAAGGCCAGACACUGUCUGAGGAAUCUAGCCUCCAGGAGGCCAGAAUGCUCUGACAGCUUUUUGUAGGACAGUCAAAGCACACUGGUUGUCCCAGAACCCUGCCUGGUGCUCUUGAAGAGCAACAAGAGUUAGAUCACUGCAUUUUUCAAAUCCCACACCCACAAUCAUACAAAGAGCUCAUCUUGUUGAAAGUAAAAAGGGUAAAACCGACCUAAAAAAGGAUAAUACAACCCAUGUUCCAGGACAGGGAGGCUAGGACAGCCAAUGGUAGUCUGAGUGGGCUCACUGGCUAAGGAGCCCAAGCCCAAUUUACUUUCUAUCCUGUCCUCCAGGGAUCUGUUGGAGAAGAUGAAGCCUGAGGGUUAGUCUUAUACUUUUCAUUAUACAUUAACAUAAAAAACAACCAAAUACACACCUCAGCUUACCUCUUUAACACUCUGCAGUCUUCUGUGUGUGGCUGAGCCCUCAGUACACCUGGAACCUCCUGCUGCCUCAUUCUAACUGGGAUUUGGCUGAGCUGCUGGGACAGAUGAAGGCACCUGCUUCCACGACCCUCUCUUCACUAUUUCUGUUC
ensembl:lncRNA